GGAAGGAGUAGUGGUGGACGACUAUGAGCAGGCGGAGAUGUGUUCUUUUGAGGGGGAAGAUGUUGAUUUUGAUGAAGUCAGGUCUUUUUCUGGUGAAGACGAUGACCACCUUCCCCCACAUCUUCAGUUCACCCAGAGGAUUCCCCCCGACUUCAGACUCCCGUGGAACCGAGAAGAGCCAGAAGAGUCCCUGGAGUGGCAAGAAGACCGCGUCUCCAGGAGGAGGAGAAGAGAGGAAGACGAUGAAGAGGAGCUCCCCUGGAAGAGGCUUUGUCAUGACAGGGAUGUUUAAGAAGAGGAAUUCUGGCAGGUCUAGGGAUGCCUUAGGUAGCGUCUUGCACCGUGGCUUUUAUUUACCCCGCUGCUAGAUUUUGAUUUAAGUUUUAGAUGUUAGAAAUUUCGUUUAGCACUGACAUCUGAGCAGGCACUGAGGACAUGACAACCAUUUAAAAAAGGUGUGGCACAUGAGAGCUGGCUAAGGCAGACAUAAUCUAGCAUGCUCUACAUCUGAUGUCAGAGCUGGACAGUCUGCCAGCUAACAGAAGGCAACACAAACAAAGGAUUGACAAAAGAACCAGAUUUGAAAAGAAGAAACACAGCAUGGAGGCAAAUGAACAAAAAAUAAAAACACCAAAAGACAAAAAAUGAAUCCUGGUUGAAAACAGAUGAACCACGAGGAGGCAAACCAAUCCAAGGAGCAGCUGGACAUCACUGCUGAGGACAACGCAGGAGGUCAAAGAAAAAUCUUAAAGGUCUAAAAAUGGAGGUCACCUAAAGUCUAUAGGCAGAGGGCCAAGGCUGUAGUGGAGACAGAUUAUCUAGAGUAGGACGAUGCUGCUGGGGACAAACUGGAUCUAGAAUGGAACAGUGGCACAGCUUGUGGUGGUCAUCAGUGGAACUGGUCUCUGGGAUGUUGGUGAGAAGGUAAAGAGACGAUGCUUGGAGGGACAAACUGAUUUCAGAGCAGUUUGAGACAGAGGACAGGACUGAUGUAGGGAUUUGGGUUGUGAGAGGAGCCGACUGUUAGAAACAGCUUUCAGAUGCGACUUGGUCUACUUCUAGAUGUUCCUCUGGUCAGUUAGUUUUCAGGCCUACUUUGAGGGAAAAGAACCCUCUGCAGAAAUAUUCUUCAUAUGAUCUAGGCCUGUUCUGACCGCAGUGGAUCUCUUCUGUGUUUUUUGAAUCCCAUGUUGGACCGAGCCUCUCCAAGCUUUGGGCCAUCAGAAGAUGCUGAUGAGAUCUGCAGCGACCAAACCAGAGGAGGAUCAUCUGGGCUGCUGACCUUUACAAAGAGUGAGAGCAUGUUCAACACUGUGGACGUCCAAAAGCAGAACUUCUGUGAGGAACCGGGACAUCCAGGAUGGUGAGGAGCUUCCCAGUCCCCACCUGAGGACGGCACAGAGAAAGACUGGAACAGAAAACACAUGGAGGAAAGCAGGUUGAACAUGGAAGCAGUUUUCUAGCAGCCGGAUCACAUUGGAACAGAGUCCAUCCACACGUGUUUGGAGGAGCUGAAGAAGAGGACGGAGCACAGAGACCGCUAAGGAGGAGAAACCUGGCUCCUCUAUUUCUCUCCAACAUGCUGGAGUCCUGGACUGAAAAACGUUGACGACCCUGCAGCUAAACCAUCAGUCUGCUCCACCCAAUCAGGUCAUCUGCUCCUUGGACCAGCGCCUCUGUGUCUGUUGGACGUCUGCUCUCCUGUUAAAGACCCGCUGGGCCGCAGUAGAUGGGCGCUGACAUGGAGCUGCUGGAGGUUCCUUCCUGCUUAAAGCUGCUUUUCCUCUCUACUGUCACCACUUCACUGCUCAGGAGGAAGGACUGCUGUAAAAUUAACGACUAGAUGUGAUUGGCUGAGCUUCCUCGGGUUGAAGACAUUUCUCUAAACGCCAUAAUAAGCUGAAUUUAUUUUCACCAUGUUGUAAAUAGGAUUGGGCUGGACUCCAUGUUUGUGUUUCUAAUUGAUUCUGUGUUUCUGUUGUUUUCUGUUCCAUGUUUUAGUAUUAAAGUUGUCUUGUAAAUUGCCUUCAGAUGACAUUUGCUGGGACUUGUUUCUAUUUUACAAGACUGUAUUAUAAUAAAUUCCCCUACUGGGUCUGUUUCUGUUAAAGGAUGCUUCCUGUUCUGCUUCAUUCUCUCUCUGUUCUCCUAUUCUGCAGAAUCUGUUAGUUCAAU